GAGGUAAGGCUGUUGGUGAUGAUGAUUGUGAUUAUGACAAGGAUUGUAAUGCUGAUAUGGAUAAUUCUGAUGAUGAUAAUGAGUCUCUGCCUGAGAACCAAAGACCAGAAAGAUACUUCCAGUACUACAUGGACAAGAUCACAAACCCUGCUCCUGCUUGAACUGUACAAAGCAAAUGUAGAUAAGUUCUACAACCCCCUGUUAAAAAAACUUUGUGGGAAGAAUUGUGUAAAUCUCUUAACAGUAAAGGUUUUUAAUAGCAAGCAGGUUGAAGGGAGAUGGAAAACCAUCGUGGCAGCUUAUUGUCGAGCUAAAGACAGCAACAGAGCGACGGGAUCAAAGAGCCAUAAUGUGAUACUAAAACAGAUUGUGAUGGAAUUUGACACUUAAAGCAAAAAUAGAUCUAACAUUCGAUCAUCAGCUCAAGCAUGGAAUGAUGACUUUGUGAUGAUUAGAAGUGAUCUAUGGAUUUCAAUGAAAGUAAACCAAUAAAAACAAACACAAUACCUUAACGUAUUGAUAUGUUAUGUCAUCAUCAUAAACAUUUUGAAAAUAAAUACCUUAAACAAAGA